GACAGGCAGCCUCCUCACUACAACCAACAGUACUCACACCACCGCAGUCAGAGCAGCAGCUCAUGCCCCCGCCUGCUCCGGGAUAGACAUCCGCCCGUCCGUCCACUGAAGCAGCCAGGGAGCUGCAAGCGUCCGGGUGAAGAUGCUGGAAAACGGGAGGAAGGUGUUCAAGGAGGGUCUGCUGGAGAAGCGAAGCGACGGGCUGCUGCAGCUCUGGAAGAAGAAGCACUGCGUCCUGACCGAGGACGGCGUGCUGCUGCUGCCGCCCAAGCAGCACGACCAGCCGCAGCACGGCGGCGGGGACACGGGCAAAGUCAAGGAGCUGCACUUCGCCAACAUGAAGACGGUGGACUGCGUGGAACGGAAGGGCAAGUACGUCUACUUCACGGUGGUCAUGCUGGAAGGGAAGGAGAUCGACUUCAGGUGCCCGCAGGACGAGGGCUGGAACGCGGAGAUCACCCUGCAGAUGGUCCAGUACAAGAACCGGCAGGCGAUCCUGGCCGUCAAGUCCACCCGGCAGAAGCAGCAGCUGCUUGUCGUGCAGAUGCCCGGUCAGAAGACGGUCCGCAGCUCGCCGAACGUUGCGUGACCUGCGGCGAGUCCCGCGGACACUGGUGCACCAUUGUUAGCGGUAAGACAGCUCCAGAGAACGCGAGAUUGAAGGGGAGGGGGUGGGGGUCGGCGGGCUCCCCAGGUCUGGGGAUCCCCUGGCAAAUUAAGGACCCAUGUUUCGGUUUUUGUUUGAUUCCCUGGAUAUUUGUGCUAUGAUGAGGACUUCUGUUUUCAUCAUAGGUCACAGUGCUCCCUCACAGAUCGAACCCUGAGCGAAUAUGCUGGCAGAAGGGGACGAAAUCGUGCAAAAUGUGGAUUUACUUUGGCGUAAAGAAAACUUUGGGAGUCUCUGCUGUAGGCCUCCGCCGGAAAAUGUGCUGGAUAAAUCCAUUACCAGACAGGUUAAUUGGACACUCAGCUGGAGGAUGAAUAUCUCCCCCUGCUGCUUCACCACAGACCUCCAUUCUCCAGCAGAACCCCUCUUCCACACAGACCAGCUUCCUCUUUUCAAUACAGAGACUUAUUUCACAAAAGACUGAUGGACAAAAAGCAUGUGAGAAGACAACUGUACUCUACCGUGCGAUGGUUAUCCCUUAUUUAUUAGAUGUAUAUAUAUUUUCUAUAAAAAAAAAAUACUAUGUUGUUGAUGAAUGUUCCCGUGUGUUUGUUGCUAGAGUGGAACAAGAAAUCCUCGCUCGGAGGUUCCCUAGACCACAUGUUACACACAAAGUCCAUAGGGUAUAAGCUCACAUAUCUUAGGAUGGUUGCUGUAGGUUAGUCAGAUCACUUCCUUACCGCUAACAUUUGUGUCAUUGUCCUUGUUUUUCAACUGAACCAAAGAAUCAUUACAUUACAUUUUCUUUCUCGUGCAGUGUUACAGCUCAGAAUAUACUAUAGCCUACUAAAAUACUAUAUGAUGAGACACCUGCAUGAUGCUAUUUUGUUUGCAUGUGUUGCACCUACUUUUAUUCAGCCCUGCUUUUUCAGAGUUAGUAUAACUGCUGCACAAAAGAGGCAAUGUUUGCAGACAGUAUAAGACAGUCAAUGGUACACAUAGGUCUCUUGAAUAAACAGGUUAUACUGUUCUAAAUUUUUUACUUACUGCAAUGUAGCUAAUGUGCUAACUAGCUUGCUUAAUGUUAUUGUAAGUAAGCUACUGUGUUAACGAGCUUGCAUAACGUUAUUGUAAGUUAGCUAGCUACUGUGCUAACGAGCUUGCUUACUGUAAGUUAGCUGCUGUGCUAACUAGCAUAGUUACUUUUACUUAGCUACUCAGCUAAUUAUCUUACUUACUGUAAAUUAGCAACUGUCCUAACUAGCUUACUUACUGUAUGUUAGCUACUGUGAUAGUUUGCUUACUGUAAGGUAGCUACAGUGCUAACUGACUUGCUUACUGUAAGUUAGGUACUGUGCUAAAGAGAUGGCUUACUGUAAGUUGGAUACUUUGCUAACUAGCUUGCUUACUGUAAGUGAGCUGCUGUGCUAGCUACGAAGGGUGUGUUCCAUUUGUACUCAGAAGUCGGAAAUUCCGAGUUCUAAUU